rnacentral:ncRNA from 1 species
UAGGUUAUUCUGCCAACCGGGUUAAAAGGGAAUCGGGUGAAAAUCCCGGACAGUCCCGCUGCUGUGAAACUCAAUGUUUCUUUUCGGGUAGAACUUUUGCCACUGAAUGGUUGUUUCAUUCGGGAAGGUGCCGGAAAGUGAGUUAGUCAGAAGACCUGCCAUUCAAUUUAA